GACAGAGGGGGCAAGCGUUGCUCGGAAUUACUGGGCGUAAAGGGCGCGUAGGCGGGAUGGCAAGUCGGUCGUGAAAUCCCUCGGCUCAACCGAGGAACGUCGAUCGAUACUGCUGUUCUUGAGGAUUGCAGAGGAGACUGGAAUUCCCGGUGUAGCGGUGAAAUGCGUAGAUAUCAGGAGGAACACCGGUGGCGAAGGCGGCUAUCUGGACAGAGUCUGACGCUGAGGCGCGAAAGCUAGGGGAGCAAACAGG
rnacentral:rRNA from 1 species